rnacentral:tRNA from 15 species
GGGUUCGUAGCUUAGUGGUAGAGCAUUCAGCUGUAGUCAGACCCAAUUUGAAUCAAUUCGGAUCGAAUUUG